ACGGGAGGCAGCAGUGGGGAAUAUUGGACAAUGGGCGAAAGCCUGAUCCAGCGACGCCGCGUGAGUGAAGAAGUAUUUCGGUAUGUAAAGCUCUAUCAGCAGGGAAGAUAAUGACGGUACCUGACUAAGAAGGCCCGGCUAACUACGUGCCAGCAGCCGCGGUAAUACGUAUGGUGCAAGCGUUAUCCGGAUUUACUGGGUGUAAAGGGUGCGUAGGCGGCAUGGUAAGUCAGAUGUGAAAGACCGGGGCUCAACUCCGGGGCUGCAUUUGAAACUGCCAGGCUUGAGUACAGGAGAGGCAGGCGGAAUUCCUAGUGUAGCGGUGAAAUGCGUAGAUAUUAGGAGGAACACCAGUGGCGAAGGCGGCCUGCUGGACUGAAACUGACGCUGAGGCACGAAAGCGUGGGGAGCAAACAGGAUUAGAUACCCUGGUA
rnacentral:rRNA from 1 species